rnacentral:rRNA from 1 species
GACUAACGCUGGCGGCGUGCCUAACACAUGCAAGUCGAACGAUUCUUUGAUUUAUAGCAAUAUUUAUUAAAGAGGAGUGGCGAACGGGUGAGUAACACGUAGAUAAUCUGCCUUUCAGACGGGGACAACUCAGGGAAACUUGUGCUAAUACCCGAUGAGACCACAAGAAGGGAUUUUUGUGGCCAAAGGCGGGCAGCAAUGCUCGUGCUGAAAGAUGAGUCUGCGUCCUAUCAGCUAGUUGGUGGGGUAAAUGCCUACCAAGGCUAAGACGGGUAGCCGGCCUGAGAGGGUGAACGGCCACACUGGGACUGAGACACGGCCCAGACUCCUACGGGAGGCAGCAGUGAGGAAUUUUCCGCAAUGGGCGCAAGCCUGACGGAGCGACGCCGCGUGAGGGAUGACAGCUUUUCGGGUUGUAAACCUCUUUUAUUAAGGAAAAAGAUCUAUAUGCUAAUAUCAUGUAGAUUUGAUGGUACUUAUUGAAUAACCCGGCUAACUACG